GAUGAACGCUGGCGGCGUGCCUAAUACAUGCAAGUAGAACGCUGAAGGAGGAGCUUGCUCUUCUGGAUGAGUUGCGAACGGGUGAGUAACGCGUAGGUAACCUGCCUGGUAGCGGGGGAUAACUAUUGGAAACGAUAGCUAAUACCGCAUGACAACAGUUAUUGCAUGAUAACUGUUUAAAAGGGGCAACUGCUCCACUACCAGAUGGACCUGCGUUGUAUUAGCUAGUUGGUGAGGUAACGGCUCACCAAGGCGACGAUACAUAGCCGACCUGAGAGGGGGACGGGCCACACUGGAGCUGGGAACCGGCCCAAACUCCACGGGGAGGCAGCGGUAGGAAAUUUUCGGAAAGGGCCGAAAGUCUACCCGGGCACCGCCGGGUGAGUGAAAAAGUUUUUCGGAUCGUAAAGCCUUGUUGUAAGAAAAGAACGGGUUUGAAGGUGGAAAGUUCACACUGUGGCGGUAUCUUACCAAAAAGGGCCGGCAACCUCCG
rnacentral:rRNA from 1 species